UACGUAGGGUGCAAGCGUUAAUCGGAAUUACUGGGCGUAAAGCGUGCGCAGGCGGUUAUGCAAGACAGAUGUGAAAUCCCCGGGCUCAACCUGGGAACUGCAUUUGUGACUGCAUGGCUAGAGUACGGUAGAGGGGGAUGGAAUUCCGCGUGUAGCAGUGAAAUGCGUAGAUAUGCGGAGGAACAUCGAUGGCGAAGGCAAUCCCCUGGACCUGUACUGACGCUCAUGCACGAAAGCGUGGGGAGCAAACAGG
rnacentral:rRNA from 1 species